rnacentral:rRNA from 1 species
CCUACGGGUGGCAGCAGUGGGGAAUAUUGCGCAAUGGGCGAAAGCCUGACGCAGCGACGCCGCGUGAGGGAUGAAGGCCUUCGGGGCGUAAAGCUCUGUUGCGGGGGAAAAAAGGCAGCAUCAGGAAAUGGGUGCUGACUGAUGGUGCCCCGCCAGAAAGUCACGGCUAACUACGUGCCAGCAGCCGCGGUAAUACGUAGGUGGCGAGCGUUAUCCGGAAGGAUUGGGCGUAAAGGGUGCGCAGGCGGUCCUGCAAGUCUGGAGUGAAACGCAUGAGCUCAACUCAUGCAUGGCUUUGGAAACUGGAGGACUGGAGAGCAGGUGAGGGCGGUGGAACUCGAUGUGUAGCGGUAAAAUGCGUAGAUAGAUGGAAGAACACCAGUGGCGAAGGCGGCCGCCUGGCCUGUUGCUGACGCUGAGGCACGAAAGCGUGGGGAGCAAAUAGGAUUAGAUACCCGGGUAGUC